rnacentral:rRNA from 1 species
GCAAGUCGAGCGGUAACAGAUCGCUGUGAUCCCUUCGGGGUGAACUUGAUGCUGACGAGCGGCGGACGGGUGAGUAACGCGUAGGAAUCUACCCAGUAGCGGGGGAUAGCUCGGGGAAACCCGGAUUAAUACCGCAUACGCCCCACGGGGGAAAGGCCGGGAUCUUCGGACCGGUCACUAUUGGAGGAGCCUGCGUAGGAUUAGCUAGUUGGUGAGGUAAAGGCUCACCAAGGCGACGAUCCUUAGCUGGUCUGAGAGGACGAUC